GUUAUACUGCAUGGAGCUUUUCUCCCAGAAUGAUACCAAAGCAUUUCAGAAAUUGAAAAGAUGCAAAGGAGCUGGGGGAAGAAGGAGGAGGAGGAGGAAGAAAAAAAGUUUCUCUUCUUCUGGGAAAAUGAAGCAGUUUUUUCCAGCCUUAACAUGUCUUGAACUUUUGAGGAAAAACCUAUGCAAAGUGGGAUCUUGCAGCACACACGUGAUGAAUGGGAUGCCUCUCAGGAACAUAAAUCUGUGCUGGUGCAUCAUGAUGCAGAAUUGGUGUUGAUGCUAACAUGUCAUUUUCCCAAAUGCUUCAGAGUCCUUUGGGCCUGCCAUGAAGAUAAAGAAAGGAUGAAUGAGAACAUGAGCAGAGAUAUCUGAGCAGAGAUGAUGAAAACAACUGAAAAGGAGAAGGGGAGC
rnacentral:lncRNA from 1 species